rnacentral:rRNA from 1 species
UAGCCUACGGGGGGCAGCAGUGGGGAAUAUUGGGCAAUGGGCGCAAGCCUGACCCAGCAACGCCGCGUGAAGGAAGAAGGCCCUCGGGUUGUAAACUUCUUUUAUCAAGGACGAAACAAAUGACGGUACUUGAUGAAUAAGCCACGGCUAACUACAUGCCAGCAGCCGCGGUAAUACGUAGGUGGCAAGCGUUAUCCGGAUUUACUGGGUGUAAGGGGCGUGUAGGCGGGGCUGCAAGUGAGAUGUGAAAACCAUGGGCUCAA